GAACUGUCUGUUGAAGACCCCCCCCCCCCCCCCCCCCCACCAAGCUGCCCACCAGAGGCCAAGCUGUACUUGGUGUUUGCCAACAUGCUGUAAUUUCCAGCCUGGUUGCUGUAGCCACAGAGGAAUUUUCAAGGACAAGAACCAGUGCUGGUAAAACUGUGGUCUCUGUGGUUUUCCAUACCGGCUCUCGGCAAGGAUUUUCAAGAAAGGAAUACCAUCUCCAAAUCAUGAUGUGCCAAUAAGCUCCAGUUAGCUGCGGCCUUUUCCCCAGGCGGUAGUCCUGCAAUCUGAAUCCAGGAGAUGCAGCUCUGAAUCCAAUAUUUCAGAAGAAUGAAGAUG